rnacentral:rRNA from 1 species
AUACGUAGGUGACAAGCGUUAUCCGGAUUUACUGGGCGUAAAGGGCGUGUAGGCGGUCUUGCAAGUCAGAAGUGAAAUUCCUGAGCUCAACUCGGGCGCUGCUUCUGAAACUGCAGGACUUGAGUGCUGGAGGGGAUAGCGGAAUUCCUAGUGGAGCGGUGAAAUGCGUAGAUAUAAGGAAGAACACCAGUGGCGAAGGCGGUCUACUGGACAGUAACUGACGCUGAGGCGCGAAAGCGUGGGGAGCAAACAGGAUUAGAUACCCUGGUAGUCCACGCUGUAAACGAUGAAUACUAGGUGUGGGGGGACUGACCCCCUCCGUGCCGCAGUUAACACAAUAAGUAUUCCACCUGGGGAGUACGGCCGCAAGGUUGAAACUUAAAGGAAUUGACGGGG